rnacentral:rRNA from 1 species
UACAGAAGGGGCAAGCGUUAUUCGGAAUUAUUGGGCGUAAAGGGCGCGUAGGCGGCUUGGCAAGUGGAUGGUGAAAUCCCUCGGCUUAACCGAGGAACUGCCGUCCAAACUGCUUCGCUUGAGACCGGGAGAGGUGAGUGGAAUUCCCAGUGUAGCGGUGAAAUGCGUAGAUAUUGGGAGGAACACCAGUGGCGAAGGCGGCUCACUGGACCGGUACUGACGCUGAUGCGCGAAAGCGUGGGGAGCAAACAGG